GAUGAACGCUGGCGGCGUGCCUAAUACAUGCAAGUCGAGCGAACAGACGAGGAGCUUGCUCCUCUGACGUUAGCGGCGGACGGGUGAGUAACACGUGGAUAACCUACCUAUAAGACUGGGAUAACUUCGGGAAACCGGAGCUAAUACCGGAUAAUAUAUUGAACCGCAUGGUUCAAUAGUGAAAGACGGUUUUGCUGUCACUUAUAGAUGGAUCCGCGCCGCAUUAGCUAGUUGGUAAGGUAACGGCUUACCAAGGCGACGAUGCGUAGCCGACCUGAGAGGGUGAUCGGCCACACUGGAACUGAGACACGGUCCAGACUCCUACGGGAGGCAGCAGUAGGGAAUCUUCCGCAAGGGGCGAAAGCCUGACGGAGCAACGCCGCGUGAGUGAUGAAGGUCUUCGGAUCGUAAAACUCUGUUAUUAGGGAAGAACAAAUGUGUAAGUAACUAUGCACGUCUGGACGGUACCUAAGCAGAAAGCCACGGCUAACUACGU
rnacentral:rRNA from 1 species